rnacentral:rRNA from 1 species
AGCGAACGCUGGCGGCAGGCUUAACACAUGCAAGUCGAACGGGCGUAGCAAUACGUCAGUGGCAGACGGGUGAGUAACGCGUGGGAACGUACCUUUUGGUUCGGAACAACCCAGGGAAACUUGGGCUAAUACCGGAUAAGCCCUUACGGGGAAAGGAUUAUCGCCGAAGAUCGGCCCGCGUCUGAUUAGCUAGUUGGUGAGGUAACGGCUCACCAAGGCGACGAUCAGUAGCUGGUCUGAGAGGANGAUCAGCCACAUUGGGAC